GGGGCGUUAGCUCAGUUGGUAGAGUAUUACCUCGACAAGGUAGUGGUCACUGGUUCGAGUCCAGUACGCCCCACCA
rnacentral:tRNA from 1 species